GUAUCGACAGAGGGAGCUCUCUGCUUUACUCCUCAAAACCUGCAGGUUUCGCAGAGAGGUUUUUGGUUUCAUUUUUAUCUUCUGAGACUCAGUAUUUGGAGAAAAAGGUUGCUGGGUGAGGACAAUAGGGCUGACCAUGUGGAGGACUGGAACAGGAAGAGAAGCUCUGAUGGGUUUGAAAAGACUUCAGGUUGGAGGUGCUUGACCUAAACUGAAAGGAGUAGUAGUAUCUCUUGGUAAAAAGCAUCUUUCAGAUGGGAACUCCAGGUAUGCAGCAGGAGCCAGGAAAGCACCAGACAGGCUGAAGCGUCCCACGUCUGGGACAGCUGCUACCUUGCUUGAUUUUUCCAGUGCAGAGUCUGGAGUCUCCUCUGCCUUAAGCAAAAGCGAUGUCUGUGUCUGCUGCUUUUCACUUGGCAGAUGGCUUCCAGCACUCAACAGCUGAUCCAGCAGAGAACUGGUGCCUAUCAGCUUUCCAUCAGAUGCACAGAUCAUACUGAGCUGCAUUUGCAGAAGUGAAUUUUGAUGCUCAGCAUUUGGCUUACAUGGGAGGCAAAGACCAAGAAAGUGAGCAGUGGAGCAUGAUGUCCACUUAAGUUGGAGUUUGCUCAGUAGACAACAAAGUCUGAGGAGCUGACUAUUUCAAAACCAUAGAAAAAAGAGGGAAGGGACCAGGAGCAGGUACAGCUCCCUUCCUGCACCUUUCUGGCUGCUCCGGAGGCCCGGUGUUGACACCGUGGUUUGAAAUAAGCUGGAUCAGGUGUCUGGUCAUGCUCUGUGGCCUUCAGCACCAUCUGUGCUAGGAGACACGGGAAUAAUGGAGCGAUCUGAAAACUGCAAUGAGGGGAAGCCCUGACACCAGGGUGCUGGGUUUUUAAGCAAAAAAUGGAAGUCUAAAUGUGAAAGGAUUGCUGCGUCAAUAUGCUUGCAUACGUGAGUUUAUUACUUUGGUGCUUACAUAUGUUAACCUACUACAUAUGCUAUGAGUUGCUUUGGCCUACUAAUUUCUAUCCAUUUUAAGCAACUUUCCACCAAUUUCCACCGUGAUUGGAAGCUCAGUGAAAUCAUAGCUAUAACAGGCGUCUUUCAGAGCACUGAGUCAGUGCUGGGUUUCCCAUCUGUUUCACCGUGCGCUGAGGCUGCAGCACAUGGCAAACCCUCCGGUGCUUGCAGCAGGUGUUCAGUUCGGUGGACCCUGCCCAGAGCUGCUGAUUUUUGACCUGCUCUGCUGCGUUCCUCCCCAUUCA